rnacentral:rRNA from 1 species
GAUGAACGCUGGCGGCGUGCCUAACACAUGCAAGUCGAGCGAACGGACGACAACCUUGCUUCUCGGAUGUUAGUGGCGGAUGGGUGAGUAACACGCGGAUAACCUACCCGUAAGUCAGGUGUCACUUCGUGAAACCGGAGCGAAUACCGCGUAAUAUUAUGCACCGUAUGGGCCAAAAGUGAAAUACGGUCUUGCUGUCACCUCUAGAUGGAUCCGCCCUGCAUUAGCCAGUUGGUAAGGUAACGGCUUACCCAGGCAACGAUGCAUAGCCGACCUGAGAGGGUGAUGGGCUACCCUGGAACUGAGACACGGUCCAGACUCCUACACGAGGACGCAGUAGGGACUCUUCCGCAAUGGAGGAGUGCCUGACAGAGCAACGCCGCGUGAGUGAUGAAGGUCUUCGGAUCGUAAAACUCUGUUAUUAGGCAAGAACAAAUGUGUAAGUAACUGUGAACAUCGUGACGGUACCUAAUCAGAAAGCCACGGCUAACUACGUG